CAGCCGCCGCGGGAAUACGAAGGGGGCUAGCGUUGUUCGGAUUUACUGGGCGUAAAGCGCACGUAGGCGGAUGAUUAAGUCAGGGGUGAAAUCCCGAGGCUCAACCUCGGAACUGCCUUUGAUACUGGUCAUCUUGAGUCCGGGAGAGGUGAGUGGAACUGCGAGUGUAGAGGUGAAAUUCGUAGAUAUUCGCAAGAACACCAGUGGCGAAGGCGGCUCACUGGCCCGGUACUGACGCUGAGGUGCGAAAGCGUGGGGAGCAAACAGGAUUAGAUACCCCGGUAGUCCCUGUCUCUUAUAC
rnacentral:rRNA from 1 species